rnacentral:rRNA from 1 species
UACAGGGGGUGCAAGCGUUGCUCGGAAUCAUUGGGCGUAAAGCGCACGUAGGCGGUUCGUUAUGUCGGAUGUGAAAGCCCUUGGCUUAACCGAGGAAGUGCAUCCGAAACUGGCGAGCUAGAGUACGAAAGAGGAUCGCGGAAUUCCCGGUUUAGAGGUGAAAUUCGUAGAUAUCGGGAGGAACACCGGUGGCGAAGGCGGCGAUCUGGGUCGAUACUGACGCUGAGGUGCGAAAGCGUGGGGAGCAAACAGG